rnacentral:rRNA from 1 species
UACAGAGGGUGCGAGCGUUAAUCGGAAUUACUGGGCGUAAAGCGCGCGUAGGCGGCUUUGCAAGUCGGGUGUGAAAUCCCCAGGCUUAACCUGGGAACUGCAUUCGAGACUGCAUUGCUAGAGUAUGGGAGAGGGAAGUGGAAUUCCGGUGUAGCGGUGAAAUGCGUAGAUAUCGGAAGGAACAUCAGUGGCGAAAGCGACUUCCUGGACCAAUACUGACACUCAGGUGCGACAGCGUGGGGAGCAAACAGG